UACGUAGGGUGCAAGCGUUGUCCGGAAUUAUUGGGCGUAAAGAGCUCGUAGGCGGUUUGUCGCGUCUGCUGUGAAAACGCGAGGCUCAACCUCGCGCCUGCAGUGGGUACGGGCAGACUAGAGUGUGGUAGGGGAGAUUGGAAUUCCUGGUGUAGCGGUGGAAUGCGCAGAUAUCAGGAGGAACACCGAUGGCGAAGGCGGCGACCUGGGUCGACACUGACGCUGAGGCGCGAAAGCGUGGGGAGCAAACAGG
rnacentral:rRNA from 1 species